GUCCUCACAAGUCCAGGGAGUGCCUUCCCCUGAUCCUCAUCAUCAGGAACAGGCUCAAGUAUGCUCUGAAUUACCGUGAGGUUAUUUCUAUCCUGAUGCAACGCCAUGUCUUGGUUGAUGGCAAGGUCAGGACUGACAAGACCUACCCUGCUGGGUUCAUGGGUAUGCUCUGAUCUUCCAACCUGCAGAAAGAUUCUUCCUACCUUUGCUAUGUAGUUACUGAUUUGUUGCAUUUGUUUUUUGGCAGAUGUCAUUUCCAUCCCCAAGACCAAUGAGAACUACAGGCUUCUGUAUGACACCAAGGGCCGCUUCCGUCUUCACCCCAUCAGGGAUGAGGAUGCCAAGGUUAGAGCAAUUCCCUUUUGUAAAUUUCUCAUUUUUCCUGUUGUGCAUGAUCUUGUUAGCGUAUAGGAUACUGUUUUCAGUUGAUAUACCUAAUAUGGUUGAUUAUUAUACUCUUAAUUACUUGAUGUUCUUUGCUAUCCGAUUCAAGUUUGCGUUGGUUUUUUGGUUCUUAGCAUAUACUUCCUGUAAUUUCAUCCUGAAUUCUCAAGUUCCUCGCGCCUUCCCAAUUUUCAAGUGAAUGCUGAUUGAUGUUUGAUUGUUCUGUGUACAGACCAAGCUCUGCAAGGUUAGGUCUGUUCAGUUUGGCCAGAAGGGCAUCCCAUACCUGAACACCUAUGAUGGGCGCACCAUCCGCUACCCUGACCCGCUCAUCAAGGCCAACGACACCAUCAAGAUCGACCUGGAGACCAAUAAGAUUGUUGACUUCAUCAAGUUUGAUGUUGGCAACGUUGUCAUGGUGACUGGUGGAAGAAACACUGGUCGUGUUGGUGUGAUCAAGAACAGGGAGA
rnacentral:lncRNA from 1 species